GAUGAACGCUGGCGGCGUGCCUAAUACAUGCAAGUCGAGCGAACGGACGAGAAGCUUGCUUUUCUGAUGUUAGCGGCGGACGGGUGAGUAACACGUGGAUAACCUACCUAUAAGACUGGGAUAACUUCGGGAAACCGGAGCUAAUACCGGAUAAUAUUUUGAACCGCAUGGUUCAAAAGUGAAAGACGGUCUUGCUGUCACUUAUAGAUGGAUCCGCGCUGCAUUAGCUAGUUGGUAAGGUAACGGCUUACCAAGGCAACGAUGCAUAGCCGACCUGAGAGGGUGAUCGGCCACACUGGAACUGAGACACGGUCCAGACUCCUACGGGAGGCAGCAGUAGGGAAUCUUCCGCAAUGGGCGAAAGCCUGACGGAGCAACGCCGCGUGAGUGAUGAAGGUCUUCGGAUCGUAAAACUCUGUUAUUAGGGAAGAACAUAUGUGUAAGUAACUGUGCACAUCUUGACGGUACCUAAUCAGAAAGCCACGGCUAACUACGUGCCAGCAGCCGCGGUAAUACGUAGGUGGCAAGCGUUAUCCGGAAUUAUUGGGCGUACAGCGCGCGUAGGCGGUUUUUUAAGUCUGAUGUGAAAGCCCACGGCUCAACCGUGGAGGGUCAUUGGAAACUGGAAAACUUGAGUGCAGAAGAGGAAAGUGGAAUUCCAUGUGUAGCGGUGAAAUGCGCAGAGAUGUGGAGGAACACCAGUGGCGAAGGCGACUUUCUGGUCUGUAACUGACGCUGAUGUGCGAAAGCGUGGGGAUCAAACAGGAUUAGAUACCCUGGUAGUCCACGCCGUAAACGAUGUGUGCUAAGUGUUAGGGGGUUUCCGCCCCUUAGUGCUGCAGCUAACGCAUUAAGCACUCCGCCUGGGGAGUACGACCGCAAGGUUGAAACUCAAAGGAAUUGACGGGGGCCCGCACAAGCGGUGGAGCAUGUGGUUUAAUUCGAAGCAACGCGAAGAACCUUACCAAAUCUUGACAUCCUUUGACAACUCUAGAGAUAGAGCCUUCCCCUUCGGGGGACAAAGUGACAGGUGGUGCAUGGUUGUCGUCAGCUCGUGUCGUGAGAUGUUGGGUUAAGUCCCGCAACGAGCGCAACCCUUAAGCUUAGUUGCCAUCAUUAAGUUGGGCACUCUAAGUUGACUGCCGGUGACAAACCGGAGGAAGGUGGGGAUUACGUCAAAUCAUCAUGCCCCUUAUGAUUUGGGCUACACACGUGCUACAAUGGACAAUACAAAGGGCAGCGAAACCGCGAGGUCAAGCAAAUCCCAUAAAGUUGUUCUCAGUUCGGAUUGUAGUCUGCAACUCGACUACACGAAGCUGGAAUCGCUAGUAAUCGUAGAUCAGCAUGCUACGGUGAAUACGUUCCCGGGUCU
rnacentral:rRNA from 1 species